rnacentral:rRNA from 1 species
UACGGAGGAUCCGAGCGUUAUCCGGAUUUAUUGGGUUUAAAGGGUGCGCAGGCGGGAGAUUAAGUCGGCGGUGAAAUUUUGCAGCUCAACUGUAAAAGUGCCUUCGAAACUGGUUUCCUUGAGUGUAGAUGAAGUAGGCGGAAUUUGUGGUGUAGCGGUGAAAUGCAUAGAUAUCACGAGGAACUCCGAUUGCGCAGGCAGCUUACUAAACUACUACUGACGCUCAGGCACGAAGGCGUGGGGAUCAAACAGGAUUAGAUACCCCCGUACGU